rnacentral:lncRNA from 1 species
GAAACCUGGGGGUGGCCUUGAAGAGACUUUAAAGUCGAUGAAACUCUCAAGGUUUCGUCGACCUUCAUGUUGAAUUAUAGGUUUCGGCCCAAAUGCAAGUUGAUUGGCCAAUUCUAUGCUUAAAUAUACAUACAGAAUUCUCAGAAUCCUAUUGCAAAGGUUGAUCUUGUUGUGUUUCCCCACUUUUGUAACUUCAUAUGAGAGGUAUAACUUAUCCCACAUCUCCUCGAGAGAAGUACAUCUUUUGAAAGCAUGAAAGUUGUGAUUUGGUAACCACUAGCCAAUGCUUACGUUGAUUACGGCAAUGGUCGGGUCAGAUCAUAUCAAAUAUCAAGAAUUGUUGUAUUGGAAAAAAAAUGUUAGGUAUAACAAGCACCAAUAGGCAAUUAACUUCGGUUAACUUAGAAAUUGAAGUUAUCAGAUUAAAAAUUGUUGAUUGGAGCAUCUCCAAGCAUUGCGAUGGAAGAAGAAACUUACGAGUGAAGCCAAAGCAAGUGUUUAACUAAAGUUAAAGGCGAGAUUUGAUUUUCUUGAAUAUCAAUGGUUCAAUUGGGCCCUGAUUUUAUAUUUUAUAUUUUCAG